CAAAAUAUAGCUUAAAUAAAGCAUCUCGCUUACACCGAGAAAACAUCUGUUAGAUCCAGAUUAUUUUGA
rnacentral:tRNA from 1 species